AUUGAACGCUGGCGGCAGGCCUAACACAUGCAAGUCGAGCGGAUGAAGGGAGCUUGCCCCUGGCAUCAGCGGCGGUCGGGUGUGUAAUGCCUAGGAAUCUGUCUGGUAGUGGGGGAUAAAGUUCGGCAAAGAGCGCUAAUACCGCAUACGUCCUAGGGGAACAAGCGGGGGAUCUUCGCACGUCACGCUAUCAGAUGAGCCUAGGUCGGAUUAGCUAGUUGGGGGGGUAGAGGCCUAACAAGGCGACGAUCCGUAACUGGUCUGAGAGGAUGAUCAGUCACACUGGAACAGAGACACGGUCCAGACUCCUGCGGUAGGCAGCGGUGGGGAAUAUUGGACGAUGGGCGAAAGCGUGAUCCAGCCAUGCGGCGUGUGUGAUGAAGGUCUUCUGAUGGUAGAGCACUAUAAGUUGGAAGGUAGUGCAGUAAGUUAAUACCUUACGGUAUUGACGUUACCAACAGAAUAAGCACCGGCUAACUUCGUG
rnacentral:rRNA from 1 species